AUGCCCGUAGCUCAAUGGUAGAGUACCGGUCUCCAAAACCGGUGACGUGAGUUCGAUUCUCACCGGGUAUG
rnacentral:tRNA from 2 species